CAUAAAACCUCAGGAAAGAAGACACCACACGUCUGCUUGUCUUCACGCAGGUGGUUUUCAAUUAGCUGAUGACCACUGAUUGCUUCCUCCUCCUCUUCUUAUUUAAGCUUCCUCCAGACAAAAGUUCCGUGAUGUUACUUUGAAGAGAAGCUGCACGAGCCGUGGAACGAAAAAAAAAAAGCCGCGAAAAAAAGUAUCGCUGCUUAACUACUGAAACUGUUCCGGGAGGAGGGAACUUGUGUCGGUAAUGCACCAACCGGCAUAAAACCUCAACAAAGAACGAGGGAACUUUAAAAAAAGAAGAGAGAAAAAAAGAAAACUACCGCCGCGUGACGUCAGACGCCGAAAAGGUGCUCCUGUAUAAAAACGCAGCAAGGCGCUCCAGGGUGGCGUGUUCGACCUGGUCCAGAUUGGUGGCCCGUCCAGAAUGGAACAACCUGCUUCCUGCUCACGGAGACCUGGUCGGACCCGCCAUAUACAAAAGCCUGAGGCUGUCAAAAAAAGAUUGAUCUUCAUGAAGAUCGUCAAAUAGUAGGCGUCAUGAUUUAAUUCUGGGUGGCCGCUGUGUCCCCACUCUUUCUUGGCCGCUGUG